GAUGAACGCUGGCGGCGUGCUUAACACAUGCAAGUCGAACGAAGUAUUUGCGACAGAUUUUUUCGGAAUGAAGUUGCUUAUGACUGAGUGGCGGACGGGUGAGUAACGCGUGGGUAACCUGCCUUGUACUGGGGGAUAGCAGCUGGAAACGGCUGGUAAUACCGCAUAAGCGCACAAUGUUGCAUGACAUGGUGUGAAAAACUCCGGUGGUAUAAGAUGGACCCGCGUCUGAUUAGCUAGUUGGUGAGAUAACAGCCCACCAAGGCGACGAUCAGUAGCCGACCUGAGAGGGUGACCGGCCACAUUGGGACUGAGACACGGCCCAGACUCCUACGGGAGGCAGCAGUGGGGAAUAUUGCACAAUGGAGGAAACUCUGAUGCAGCGACGCCGCGUGAGUGAAGAAGUAAUUCGUUAUGUAAAGCUCUAUCAGCAGGGAAGAUAGUGACGGUACCUGACUAAGAAGCUCCGGCUAAAUACGUG
rnacentral:rRNA from 1 species